GCCCGGAUGCAGUUUCACAUGAAGACAGUAGAGCAUCAUUCAACAAAAACGUUUGGUAACAGAUGACGGUGUAGAAAACUCUGCAAAAACAAACUGUCGUCUUUCUGGAAUUUUUUAACAGAUCCACAAACGUGCAUGAAUAAUUUAAAUAAAAUUAAUCCGGAAAUUGAUUUGAAAACUGUUUAUUCUAUCUUUUCAUUUU
rnacentral:lncRNA from 1 species